rnacentral:rRNA from 1 species
AUGAGUACUUCCUCUUCUUCCAACAAAUCUUUUACCUUAUCUACUGGCCUGAUCAAAUACAAAGGUAUAAUUUGGAUAGGAAAUUCGCAUGCACUUCAAACCAGCAUUGUUAAGGCUUUUCAUGACAGUCCCCUAGGGGUCAUUUUGGUUUUCCUGUCACUUAUAGAAGGAUCCAUGCUUUAUUUUGUUGGGUGGGUAUGUGCAACUUUAUUAGAGAUUAUGUUAAGUCAACAUAUUAUCUGUCAGCAAGCAAAGCCUAAGAAUGUCAACUACCCUGGCUUGCUCUAUUCUUUACAUGUUCCAAAGCAAGCUUGGGAAAUGAUUACAAUGGAUUUCAUUAGUGGCUUGCCUACUUCUGGCCGAAUUAAUUGUAUUCUAGUGGUCAUUGACAAAUUCACCAAGUAUGGUAAUUUUAUUCCUCUCCAACAUCCAUUCAUUGCUCAAACUGUAGCUGAAGUGUUUAUUGACAAUAUCUACAAGUUGCACAUCCUGCCCAAGUAUAUAGUUUCAGAUAGAUACCCUAUCUUCACUAGUACAUCUUGGAAACUGAUUAUGAAGGCC